GGGGGGAGGUCGGAUCCUGGGCUGUGCCCCCGGCCCGCUGUGCUCCUGGGCCGCGCUGUUGGAAUCGCGCUCCCGGCCGGGCAGCCCCCU
rnacentral:pre_miRNA from 1 species